rnacentral:lncRNA from 1 species
ACAACAAGAACAACAACAACCAGAAGGACCAGGGCAAGCAUGGUGGAGUUGGAAGCCUCAUGCAGGGCCUCAAGGCCUUCAAGAGCCAGCACAACAAGAACCAGCUCCAUGAGCUGAGCUCAGAGGAUGAUGACAUGUACGAUGACGAUGAUGAUGAGUUUGAGGAUGACUAUGAGGACGAUGACCUUGGCUUCCUUGGAGACAAGAUGAACCAGCUCAGCUUCCUCAGGCAGCAUGCUACGGCAGCAGCCAAUGCCAAGAAC